rnacentral:tRNA from 1 species
GCGGCGGUAACUCAGUUGGUAGAGUUUCAGCCUUCCAAGCUGACUGUCGCCGGUUCGAGCCCGGUCCGCCGCUC